GACGGACGCUGGCGGCGUGCUUAACACAUGCAAGCCGAACGAUGAAGCCGGAGCUUGCUCUGGUGAAUUAGUGGCGAACGGGUGAGUAACACGUGGGUGAUCUGCCCUGCACUUCGGGAUAAGCCUGGGAAACUGGGUCUAAUACCGGAUAGGACCCUGGGAUGCAUGUCCUGGGGUGGAAAGCUUUUGCGGUGUGGGAUGGGCCCGCGGCCUAUCAGCUUGUUGGUGGGGUGAUGGCCUACCAAGGCGACGACGGGUAGCCGGCCUGAGAGGGUGACCGGCCACACUGGGACUGAGAUACGGCCCAGACUCCUACGGGAGGCAGCAGUGGGGAAUAUUGCACAAUGGGCGCAAGCCUGAUGCAGCGACGCCGCGUGAGGGAUGACGGCCUUCGGGUUGUAAACCUCUUUCAGCACCGACGAAGCGCAAGUGACGGUAGGUGCAGAAGAAGGACCGGCCAACUACGUGCCAGCCGCCGCCGUAA
rnacentral:rRNA from 1 species